rnacentral:rRNA from 1 species
UACAUGGGGUGCAAACGUUGCUCGGAAUUAUUGGGCGUAAAGCGCGCGUAGGCGGUUACUCAAGUCGGAUGUGAAAGCCCUCGGCUUAACUGAGGAAGUGCACCCGAAACUGAGUAGCUAGAGUACUAAAGAGGGUCGCGGAAUUCCCGGUGUAGAGGUGAAAUUCGUAGAUAUCGAGAGGAACACCGGUGGCGAAGGCGGCGAUCUGGACGGUGACUGACGCUGAGACGCGAAAGCGUGGGGAGCAAACAGG